rnacentral:rRNA from 1 species
AACGUAGGAGACAAACGUUAUCCGGAGUUACUGGGCGUAAAGGGCGUGUAGGUGGUUUCGUAAGUCUGGCGUGAAAUAUCUCGGCUUAACCGAGGCAGGUCGUCGGAUACUGCGGGACUAGAGGACGGUAGAGGCGUGUGGAAUUCCGGGUGUAGUGGUGAAAUGCGUAGAGAUCCGGAGGAACACCAGUGGCGAAGGCGCUCUACUGGGCCAUAACUGACACUGAGGGACGAAAGCUAGGGGAGCGAAAGGG